rnacentral:tRNA from 1 species
GGGCCUGUAGCUCACCUGAUAGAGCGCCGCAUUCGCAUUGCGGAGGCAGGGGGUUUGAGUCCCCCCAGGUCCA